UUCACCUUCUUCCUCACCUGUCGCGUUAGCUCAGCGUGUUAGUCCGUGAUUCGGUGACAGAACGGUUCCCUCAGAAAUCUUGGGAGAAAAGAGAAAACAUUAUUUAUCGCCGGUUAUCCAGCGCCAGUUUGCGUCUUCUGGGGUAUUGACGUGAUCCCACAGAUGUCUGCUUUCUGUCCGGGUCAGCUGAGCAGCGAUCUGAUUGGCUCGCCUGGGGUUAUGGUUAUGACACGAGCACAGAGGAAAGGGGCCCGGCUCCGGCCGCCACGUGCAUGCUGGGAAACUUCAGCAGGUCAAAUUAAUAAUCAAUAAAAGAUCAUCUGGAUUAUCUGUGGGAUUAAGUACAGUAAAGUGACUUGCAGGUGACGGGCUGCAUAAAAUGGCUCCCCCGUCCUCCCAUGAUGCCCUGCAGGGCUGACCAAUGGCACGCCCUGCCCCGUGUGAUGUCACAGCGGUAUAAAGCCCCCCGCCGCCCUGCUGCCUGCUCUGAGCAGAGUCAGCGUUCCCGGCCUGGACGCCUCGGCUGGAGGAACUGCUGUCUGGAGGAAAAACAAAACUACACGGCGCUGACGGCCUGUAGUUUUGUUUUUUUGUUGU